GAUGAAGAACGUAGCGAAAUGCGAUAAGUAAUGUGAAUUGCAGAAUUCAGUGAAUCAUCGAAUCUUUGAACGCACCUUGCGCCCUUUGGCCAUUCCGAAGGGCAUGCCUGUUUGAGUAUCAUGAACACCUCAACUCUCAUGGCUCGCCAUGAUGAGCUUGGACUUUGGGGGUCUUGCUGGCCUGUGGUCGGCUCCUCUCAAAUGGAUCAGCUUGCCAGUGUUUGGUGGCAUCACAGGUGUGAUAACUAUCUGCGCUUGUGGUUUUCCAUCAGAUAACCUUCAGUGAUGGAGGUUCGCUGGAGCUCAUAAUCGUAUCCCCUAUGCGGGGACAGCCCUUUGAAUGUUUGAUCUCAAAUCAGGUAGGACUACCCGCUGAUCUUAAGCAUAUCAAUAAGCGGAGGA
rnacentral:misc_RNA from 1 species